rnacentral:rRNA from 1 species
UACGGAGGGUGCAAGCGUUAUCCGGAUUUACUGGGUUUAAAGGGUGCGUAGGUGGGUCUGUAAGUCAGUGGUGAAAUCUCCGGGCUUAACCCGGAAACUGCCAUUGAUACUAUAGGUCUUGAAUUAUCUGGAGGUAAGCGGAAUAUGUCAUGUAGCGGUGAAAUGCUUAGAUAUGACAUAGAACACCAAUUGCGAAGGCAGCUUACUACGGAUACAUUGACACUGAGGCACGAAAGCGUGGGGAUCAAACAGGA